GACGAACGCUGGUCGGCGUGCUUAACACAUGCAAGUCGAACGGAAAGGCCCUGCUUUUGUGGGGUGCUCGAGUGGCGAACGGGUGAGUAACACGUGAGUAACCUGCCCUUGACUUUGGGAUAACUUCAGGAAACUGGGGCUAAUACCGGAUAGGAGCUCCUGCUGCAUGGUGGGGGUUGGAAAGUUUCGGCGGUUGGGGAUGGACUCGCGGCUUAUCAGCUUGUUGGUGGGGUAGUGGCUUACCAAGGCUUUGACGGGUAGCCGGCCUGAGAGGGUGACCGGCCACAUUGGGACUGAGAUACGGCCCAGACUCCUACGGGAGGCAGCAGUGGGGAAUAUUGCACAAUGGGCGGAAGCCUGAUGCAGCAACGCCGCGUGCGGGAUGACGGCCUUCGGGUUGUAAACCGCUUUCGCCUGUGACGAAGCGUGAGUGACGGUAAUGGGUAAAGAAGCACCGGCUAACUACGUGCCAGCAGCCGCGGUGAUACGUAGGGUGCGAGCGUUGUCCGGAUUUAUUGGGCGUAAAGGGCUCGUAGGUGGUUGAUCGCGUCGGAAGUGUAAUCUUGGGGCUUAACCCUGAGCGUGCUUUCGAUACGGGUUGACUUGAGGAAGGUAGGGGAGAAUGGAAUUCCUGGUGGAGCGGUGGAAUGCGCAGAUAUCAGGAGGAACACCAGUGGCGAAGGCGGUUCUCUGGGCCUUUCCUGACGCUGAGGAGCGAAAGCGUGGGGAGCGAACAGGCUUAGAUACCCUGGUAGUCCACGCUGUAAACGGUGGGUACUAGGUGUGGGGUCCAUUCCACGGGUUCCGUGCCGUAGCUAACGCUUUAAGUACCCCGCCUGGGGAGUACGGCCGCAAGGCUAAAACUCAAAGGAAUUGACGGGGCCCCGCACAAGCGGCGGAGCAUGCGGAUUAAUUCGAUGCAACGCGUAGAACCUUACCUGGGUUUGACAUGGAUCGGGAGUGCUCAGAGAUGGGUGUGCCUCUUUUGGGGUCGGUUCACAGGUGGUGCAUGGCUGUCGUCAGCUCGUGUCGUGAGAUGUUGGGUUAAGUCCCGCAACGAGCGCAACCCUUGUUCACUGUUGCCAGCACGUUAUGGUGGGGACUCAGUGGAGACCGCCGGGGUCAACUCGGAGGAAGGUGGGGAUGACGUCAAGUCAUCAUGCCCCUUAUGUCCAGGGCUUCACGCAUGCUACAAUGGCUGGUACAGAGAGUGGCGAGCCUGUGAGGGUGAGCGAAUCUCGGAAAGCCGGUCUCAGUUCGGAUUGGGGUCUGCAACUCGACCUCAUGAAGUCGGAGUCGCUAGUAAUCGCAGAUCAGCAACGCUGCGGUGAAUACGUUCCCGGG
rnacentral:rRNA from 1 species